rnacentral:misc_RNA from 1 species
UAACGAGAAAUCAAAUCAAGAAACUUCACUUCCUCAACACCCUGUAGUAAUUUUGUAGCCUCCGACAAGGCCCCAUCAGCUGUUGAUGUCCAGUUCUGAACCUCAUUUUUUGUAACCUCACCAUUUCUCUUUGCUGCAGUAGUGGAUUCCUCUACAUCUUUUCGCACUGCCUCUAGUACUUGAACUUGCUCCUUGAAAGUCUCAAUGUUGCUGUGGUAGUGAAUGAAGUAGCCAAAUUGACGCCCAAUCGGCUCAACAAGGCACUCUCCUAUUUUUCCAACUAUGGAAAGUAGAACUUCCAUGUCUAGGUUGAUAAUGCCUGUGGAUUCUCUUUCUUUGGAUAGCUUGAGAUCAAUGUAGGG